UGUCACACUUAUUCUUUCGUUUUAAAAAAGGCACGUACUAAUUUUUGGCUUGAAACACACUCUUCAAUUUUGUUUUAGUUACUAAAUGUGAAGACUUUUUAUCGGCACAUAAACAAGUAUUGACAAGUUAUUCAGUAUAGAAAAAAAUCGAUUCUUCCUAUUACGGAUUAUUGAGAGUUGAUCGCCAAAAGACUAGGGUAUUCACGUUGAUGAGUGCCUCGCAGAGUGAUUGUCGAGCCAUGACGGGUAGCUAUGAAAAAAAUGUAGUAGAACACACUCUCUCCAUAUGCUGGGAGGAAGAGAAACAUGCUGAAAUAGCUAUGAAGACACUGAGUGUAGAUCUGGAAGAAGGUUCGAGUCCUUUUAAAACGAGCCUGCAAGUUGAAGGAUGUUGUUUAACAAUAAUAAUUGUUUCCGAAACAUGGCGCUCUUUGCGUACUAAGACAAACUCCAUUUAUGAUAGUUUAAUAUUAAUUGCUGAGGUAAUACAAAAGUUCAAGUAUUAAGGAGUAUUUCACAAUCAAACGUAUGUGAAGCCGUUAUUUACGUGUUCUUGGUCAAUGACGCUAUUUUUCGUUCUAAUACUACGUUAAUAAUAAAACGAACAACAUUUUUUAUUGUAUACUA